CGGAACGGGGUGGAGGUAACGACGUGAGGGAAACCUGCCUCAGAAGGGGGGACAACAGUUGGAAACGACUGCUAAUACCGCAUAAGCCCACGGCUCGGCAUCGAGCAGAGGGAAAAGGAGCAAUCCGCUUUGAGAUGGCCUCGCGUCCGAUUAGCUGGUUGGUGAGGUAACGGCCCACCAAGGCGACGAUCGGUAGCCGGACUGGGAGGUUGAACGGCCACAUUGGGACUGAGACACGGCCCAG
rnacentral:rRNA from 1 species